AUGAAAGCACGGCAGGCCAGACCAGUGCUUCUCAAAUUCCUGCUUUUCAAAACACAGAUUCCUAGGCUCUGCUCCCAGACAUUCUGACUCAGUGUUGGAAUUUCCCAAAAUUCCCAUCUCUGACUAGCUCUCAGGUGAUGCUGAUGCUGCAGGUCUAUGGAACAUGUUUCAAGUAGCACCGGCCUUGGUCAUUAAUUUUGAGGAAAAUCAGGUGUUAAUGGGCCUGCAUUUCAGAAACGAAACUCACGAGAACAGGACCUGUCUUGUAGAGGGAGAUAAGGCAAUGCUAGGAUGACCAACUGUCCAGUUUGACCCCAGACCAUCUUGGUUUAGCAUGGAAAGGCUUGUGUCCCAGGAAACCACUCAGUCCCAGGCAAACUGGAAAGUUGGUCGCCCUACUGGGCUUAGUAGGCUGGCUUAUCAUGGCAGCUUUAUUGUGCUUUGAAGUGAUUUGGUGUUUUACUUAAAUUUUAAACCCAAGAAAAGCCUCUGAGCAUAUUGUGAAAUGGCAUGUAACCACAUGUAACUGAUGACUGCCAGUUAGAACCUUCAGCUUUUCUAAAUCUCUCUUCUCACAAGUUGUGGUGGGUCAGGGUUCCUAAACUUGUCUGCACAUUGGAAUCACCUGGGGAGCUUAAAAAAAAAGAGGAAGAAAGUGAUCUCUGUGUUCUACAUCACCCAAUUGUGAGUUAAUUGGUUUAAGGUGUGACCUGGGUGCUCCUAGUUUUAAAAGGUCCCCAGACGAUUCAAAUCUACAGACAAAUCCCACCAUCAGUAUCCCUGUGGUAGAUAGUAUUCAAAGAUGGCAGCCAUGACUACCUCUCUCUUUCUGGACACAUGCCAUUCAUCAGAGUGAAUUUCACAGCCUCCAUGUGAGAGGUCUGAUUAUCCUGAGUCCACGCUGCUGUGAGGAGAGCAGUCGCUGAGUGAAGGAGCAGCUGGGCACAGACGUGUUCUUGGACCUUCUAGACCAGCCCAGCUAACAGCUGAAUUUGCCCAAGUGGGAGGCCCCAGCUGAAGCCACUAGGAUUGGAACUGUGCAGGCAAACCACAAGGGAAGCCAGUCAUAAGAAAUCUGCUAAAUAAGGAUUGAUCAGAACAAGAAGAGAUUAUAUAGUGGUCCACAACAGGAUCUGCCCCGGAAGCAGAGGCCUGGGAUUCCUAGGGACAGAGCAACAUUGUUCCUGGAUGGUAUAUGGAGAGUCUCGGUGAAAUGUCGAUGUUUUGGACUUCUCUUUUUGCCAGUAUUUGUCGAAGUGUGGCCCCAACCAACUGCAUUAGAAUCACCAUGGAGCUUGAUAAAAUGCAGAUUUCUGGUCUCACCCAAACCUGUUGAAUUGGAAUUGAUGAAAUGAGUCUACAUUUUCAACAGACUCUCCUGGUUUAGUCUGUAUAGUAUGAGACUUACUCCUCUAAGCUAAUCAAACCCUCUGUUCACACUGUCUUUAUUCUAACAGGAUAUAAAUGAUUAGAUUCUGCUUAAUUAUUAAACAUUUUAGUUUUGACUACCUAUCAACUCUCAAUUUAAGGUAUUUUUAGAUUCAUUUAAAUUAUAAAAUUCUGAUUUGAAAGUCAUAAUGUAGCAAGUUGAGAAAGAAUGAAAAUAUAUAAAGGGUUUAGUAAAAUCAUCUGUAAUUUCAUUACCAUUUAUUGUCUUUCUCUUUUUUGUGUGAGGGUCUACACCCCACUCCUCCCACACAGGGGUCUACGCAUGUUGUAAAUAGCACUUGAUUCCUGCUUUAUUUACUCUAAUUUAAUUUGAGAGCCUCUCAUAUUGUUAGUCUUUCACUUACAUGAUAUUAAUAGCUAUUCUCAAGAUUCCCAUUCAUGUAUUUACAGAUAGAAUUUUAUUCCCACAGAUCGUUAAUCAUAUAUAUUGUGUCUAGUUUUUACGAGUGUGGAAGAAUGAGGUAUUGUGUUUUACUUUAAAAUUAGACAAUCAUUUAUUUUACAAACAAAAGCUUUUUCUAAGAGGGAGAUUUUUAGAUCCAUUCUUAAUAAGAGAAUAUUAUAACAAAGUCACAGAGGUCAUGUUUGAUGUAAAAUUGUCACAAGAUUGCUAAUACAUUUAACCUCCUGUUAUUGAAUUUGUUUACAAAUUUAAGUGAAAAAACUAAUUUUUACAUGAAAUUAACAAAUAUAUUUUCCAUAACAAAUGUACUUAGCCUCAAGGUCAAUUGUCCUUGCUUGAUAACUGUCAAAUAAAUUUCUGAAUGUUACGUGAAAGAUUUUGCCCCCUUAAGAAGAUGGACUUGGGCAGAAACUCAACUUUGAGCUUAUAAAAUAUAGAGGAAACAUGGACUUAACAGAAAAUUUAUAGUCACAUAAAAUUUUAUA
ensembl:lncRNA